rnacentral:rRNA from 1 species
AACGAACGCUGGCGGCAUGCCUAACACAUGCAAGUCGAACGAGACCUUCGGGUCUAGUGGCGCACGGGUGCGUAACGCGUGGGAACCUGCCCUUAGGUUCGGAAUAACUCCCCGAAAGGGGUGCUAAUACCGGAUAAUGUCUUCGGACCAAAGAUUUAUCGCCUUUGGAUGGGCCCGCGUUGGAUUAGCUAGUUGGUAGGGUAAAAGCCUACCAAGGCGACGAUCCAUAGCUGGUCUGAGAGGAUGAUCAGCCACACUGGGACUGAGACACGGCCCAGACUCCUACGGGAGGCAGCAGUGGGGAAUAGUGGAAAAUGGGCGAAGGCCUGAUCCAGCUAUGCCGCGUGAGUGAUGAAGGCCUUAGGGUUGUAAAGCUCUUUUACCCGGGAUGAUAAUGACGGUACCGGGAGAAUAAGCUCCGGCUAACUCCGUG